AUUGAACGCUGGCGGCAUGCCUUACACAUGCAAGUCGAACGGUAACAGGUUAAGCUGACGAGUGGCGAACGGGUGAGUAAUGUAUCGGAACGUGCCCAGUCGUGGGGGAUAACUGCUCGAAAGGGCAGCUAAUACCGCAUACGACCUGAGGGUGAAAGCGGGGGAUCGCAAGACCUCGCGCGAUUGGAGCGGCCGAUAUCAGAUUAGGUAGUUGGUGGGGUAAAGGCCUACCAAGCCUACGAUCUGUAGCUGGUCUGAGAGGACGACCAGCCACACUGGGACUGAGACACGGCCCAGACUCCUACGGGAGGCAGCAGUGGGGAAUUUUGGACAAUGGACGCAAGUCUGAUCCAGCCAUGCCGCGUGCGGGAAGAAGGCCUUCGGGUUGUAAACCGCUUUUGUCAGGGAAGAAAAGGUUCUGGUUAAUACCUGGGACUCAUGACGGUACCUGAAGAAUAAGCACCGGCUAACUACGUGCCAGCAGCCGCCGUAACAC
rnacentral:rRNA from 1 species